GGACGAACGCUGGCGGCGUGCCUAACACAUGCAAGUCGAGCGGGGAGGAGAAAGCUUGCUUUCGAAUCCUAGCGGCGGACGGGUGAGUAACGCGUGAGCAACCUGCCUCAAACAGGGGGGAUAACGCAUCGAAAGAUGUGCUAAUACCGCAUAACAUGUACGGAUCGCAUGGUCUGUACAUCAAAGCUUUAUGUGCUGAAAGAUGGCCUCGCGUCUGAUUAGCUAGUUGGUGAGGUAACGGCUCACCAAGGCGACGAUCAGUAGCCGGUCUGAGAGGAUGAACGGCCACAUUGGGACUGAGAUACGGCCCAGACUCCUACGGGAGGCAGCAGUGGGGAAUAUUGGGCAAUGGGGGAAACCCUGACCCAGCAACGCCGCGUGAAGGAAGAAGGCCUUCGGGUUGUAAACUUCUUUUAGCAGGGACGAAGGACGUGACGGUACCUGCAGAAAAGCAACGGCUAACUACGUG
rnacentral:rRNA from 1 species